rnacentral:rRNA from 1 species
GAUGAACGCUGGCGGCGUGCCUAAUACAUGCAAGUCGAGCGAACAGACGAGGAGCUUGCUCCUCUGACGUUAGCGGCGGACGGGUGAGCAACACGUGGAUAACCUACCUAUAAGACUGGGAUAACUUCGGGAAACCGGAGCUAAUACCGGAUAAUAUAUCGAACCGCAUGGUUCAAUAGUGAAAGACGGUUUUGCUGUCACUUAUAGAUGGAUCCGCGCCGCAUUAGCUAGUUGGUAAGGUAACGGCUUACCAAGGCAACGAUGCGUAGCCGACCUGAGAGGGUGAUCGGCCACACUGGAACUGAGACACGGUCCAGACUCCUACGGGAGGCAGCAGUAGGGAAUCUUCCGCAAUGGGCGAAAGCCUGACGGAGCAACGCCGCGUGAGUGAUGAAGGUCUUCGGAUCGUAAAACUCUGUUAUUAGGGAAGAACAAAUGUGUAAGUAACUAUGCACGUCUUGACGGUACCUAAUCAGAAAGCCACGGCUAACUACGUG